AUUGAACGCUGGCGGCAUGCUUUACACAUGCAAGUCGAACGGUAACAGGCCUUCGGGUGCUGACGAGUGGCGAACGGGUGAGUAAUGCAUCGGAACAUACCCAGUCGUGGGGGAUAACGUAGCGAAAGUUACGCUAAUACCGCAUACGUCCUGAGGGAGAAAGCGGGGGAUCGCAAGACCUCGCGCGAUUGGAGUGGCCGAUGUCAGAUUAGCUAGUUGGUGGGGUAAAGGCCCACCAAGGCGACGAUCUGUAGCGGGUCUGAGAGGAUGAUCCGCCACACUGGGACUGAGACACGGCCCAGACUCCUACGGGAGGCAGCAGUGGGGAAUUUUGGACAAUGGGGGAAACCCUGAUCCAGCCAUGCCGCGUGCGGGAAGAAGGCCUCGG
rnacentral:rRNA from 1 species